AUAAGAACACCACAUCUUACAACACUCUUAUAAGUAGAUAGUGAACCUAAAAUAUCCAUUUAAAGCAGAAGAAUAUAGAGGAGAUGAAGAUGAUGAUUAAGAGUGUAUUAAUCGCAUGCAUCACACUUCUCCUACUCACUGCCUUAACCGAAGUGACUGACGCAGCUCGACGAACGGGACGUGGAUCUAAAGCCGUUGCUACUAAUAGUGUAGCUUACCCUCAAGAAUGUCCAUGCUGCCAGUGGGGAUAUAGCGGUUACCCGAAUAAGUACUACCUCUGCCAGAAGAUAUGCUGCAAGACUUAAUUCAACAAGGAAAGUCCUCAUGCAUAAGCCACGGAAACGCACAUGCACUUUCUAAUGUAAUACGUAGUAUGGUUAAGUUGUAGUUGGUGGCGUUACUUUGCUCUUUGUGGAUGUAUCAAACUAUCUACCAGUGUUUAACUUUAAAUAAAGUUUGGUGCUUAUGUUUUAU